CCCUUUUCUUUCUAGCCUGCUCUAACGCUGAGUUCUGCAAUUGCCUGCACCUGUCUCUUGCUCUAACUGCACCUCUCUCUCUCUGCACGUGUUUUACCUGCUAAACCCAGGCCGUCUGUUAUCAUUGUUGUCUAUGUGAUUCCAGUCCGCGUUUUGUCAGUCCCCUGUCAUUUAAUUAGUUAUCCUAAUGUUCUUCACCUGGAUGUUGUUUGUUACUCCGCCCUCACUCACGUAACCCCUCCUUGAUUGUUACCUUCCCCAGUGUAUAAAUGUCAGUCUUUUCCACCAAGUCCCUGUCAGAACGUUGAUCAUAUUCAUUGUGCCGAUUAUUUGUAAGCCUUUGUUUAUUGAGAUUCUUGCGACACCCCUUUGCCCGACUUCGAGUUUGCCUGCCCCUUUUGGUUUUGUUUGAUCUGGUUCGACCUUCGCUUUUCUUUGACUUCUCUUUUGCCUGCCCCUUUGUACCUUCGCUAUUUCUGAUCUCCUGGUUUUUGACUUUUUGCCUGUCUUUUUACUUUUCUUUUGGAAACUCGAUUCUGUACCGCACUCUCUCUGAUCACCUGGCUACGAACUUCGCACUGAUUAAAGACGACGUUUUCUUGGAUUUCCCUGGUCUGCGUGUGGGUCCUUACACAGAACAUCACAAAGUGAGGUCUGACAAAGGCUGGGUUGGUGUAAUCUCACAGAGGGCUGCUGUGAUGUUCUGGCCUCAGUCCUGCGCUCUCCUCACUCAGAGCUGAGAGAUCUGGAGCUCAGAGACAAUGAGCUGCAGGAUUCAGGAGUGAGAGCGCUCUCUGCUGGACUGGAGGACCCACAC